AACAACUGAGAAGAAACAUCUGAAAGAUGAAAAACACAAAGGUGUUCCACCAGUAAAAGAAGUUCCACGACACCACAACCUGACAUCAGCUCCUGUCCGCUACUUUCAAUGUGUCUUCAUAAAUGGACCUAAUGGAUUUGGACUGCAGUUUCCCACUAAUCCCCCUUCAUACAAAGAAGAAAAGAUUCACUCAAAGACUUCCAAGAGAAAGACAAGAAAACCAGGACAGUAGAGAGACUGAGUUACUGGAUCACUCACAUUUGCACUUUAUCUUUUCUGCUGAGGUCCACAGUACUUAGGGUGGUACUCGUCAUUGCAUGAAUGUGAUCCACUUGGAUACGUGCACCUGGAAAAGUUUCCAUGGGGCAGAGGUAAAAGAAACAGUAAUGGGCUGUGUAGACAAAGGUAGAAAUGUAAAAGUGCCCUGUUUCUCGUGGAAAGCCUGCAAUGCUAGCAAUGAGUUGGCCUGAUUGUGUAUGAGCAAGUGUGUGUGUGUGGUUUCCUGCCUCUUUUGCUCUUGUUUUUCUUUACCUGCUCAGCAUUAAAGUGAGUCUGUUUUCCAUUUAAUCUUAUCUAGGGAGUGAGAGGUUGAAUGUAGCUCUUAUAUCAGCAAGAUUGCAAGACUACCUGCAAUCCUAAAUCACUUCUUCUUAAUGUUCAGUCAAAUUGCUGAGAGGAAAAAGCCUCACUAAGUCACGAAAAUGUGCUCUGCAAUUGGUGCUAUUUUUAUGUCUCACUGACCAGUGUAGUCUGAAGCUCACGCAUGCUCUCAGCAGCUCAAUAUACUAUCAGUAAGUUGACUCAUCAAGUCAUAUUAAUGAUGAAUAUUUCUAUUUAACCUGAAGCAGUUAAAAGCAUGGUGUAUUUGCCCUGUCUGCUUGUGAAGUACAAGCAGGUCACUUUCUAAAGCCCAAACUGAGCAAAGAAACUGAAACAACGUGGCAAAGAUAAGGAAAAACAGCAUUUUACAAAGGUCCCAUGAAACAACAAAAAUCAAUUUUAGUAACUCUACUUUUUUUUUUUUUUUCCUGCGGGUAAAUCAGAUUGAUUUUGAUUUGCAGCAGACCAUUAGAAUGGAGAAUAUACCAGCCAACUAUUUGCUCUUAUAAUGUCAUAUGAAAAACUAUGAUGUGAGGUGUCACUCAUAAAACUAAACCAAUCCAGAUUUCCAAUAAACAAACAUGCCAAUUUGAUACAAUCUCCAAUAAGUGAGAGAAAAGAACAAUAAAUAAAAGCAGAAGCAUAUGCAAUAAUGUGGGUAGCUGAUUUUACUAGAUGAAACCCCUCCACCUAGAAAGGGCUUCUGAGCUAUUAGAAGGAUGAGAACUGGAAGUAGAAAUGCCAAUCUUCAACCUUUGUUCAUAUCUGUAGAAAUAACGGAUUAGUUACCUUAAGAAGGAGAUGGGAUGACAUUAAAGACGUGAUGACAUGUAACUGAAAAUUAGCAUCUCAAUUGUCUGGCACUGUAAAUAAUCGUGCAUUUUUGAGAGCUGUUAUUAGUUUGUACUCCUUUGCUAUACUUUUGCAUUUAAUCUGUGAAAGGUACAGUGGUGAUUUUAGUCUCAUAGUUACCAGGUGAAACAGCAUGAUGCUCUUUGUACAACCUGGUUGCUUGUAGAUUCUGAUCACAACAGUAACUAUAUAUUGCUCUUUUAGUUUUAGCAUUGUUCCAGUAAACAUCAAUGCCUUUCCACAUCCUCUCUCCUUGCUGACCCAUUCUUAUCUUAAUCAAAUAAUUGACUCACAUGUGUUUCAAACAAUUGAGUCCUUGACAGGAUAAUGCAAUUCAGAAAGUUGUGCUCUUACACUGCUGGGUCAGGCUGGUACUCUCUGAUUCCUGAUCAUGGCCUUAUGUGAACUGAAAUGCAGUCUCAUAUUGUACAGGUCCUUUGCUGCAAAAUCUGUAUUUACAACAAGCAGCUUCUGGAAAAAGGUAGGAACAGAUCUUGCCCUAGGAGUAGAUUUUCCCACAUUGGAACACAUUGCAGGUAAAAAUGUUCAUGGUGAAUGCCUCCACUGUCACCUGUGAAAUCUGUUCUGGAGACAAGUACAGGGAUAUAGAGCUGCCAGCAGAGAAUACUUCAUGAUAAAACGUCAAUCUUUUCUUUCAGUAGGCCUUUUUGUAUUUCUAGUGGCUUUUUUCCUUCCUAAUUUGUGAUUUUUUAUAUAUUAUUAAGGAUGUUAUUGCCUUAGGUUUUUACAGUGAAAGCUGUCUUAAAAUGAGAUUAUAACUUUGUGAAAAUCAGUUAAUUUAAUUCAGGACUUUAUCCAAUUUAAAUAAUCAAGACAAGAUUUUAAUAUACUAUAAGCUGUUAUUCUUUUCAACUUCUUUUACCUAAAUAAUUUCUGUGCAUUAUAGUUAGCCUUAAUCCUUCUUUCUCAUUUGAGUUGAGAGAUGACAAGAAUAUGUUCCAUCUAUCAUUCCUGUAAUGUUUCAGUUAUGUAUGUGAAUGCUUUGGAAGUAUAAAUUGAACAUCAUUGAAUAAGUAGUAAAAAAUUACACAAUUAUUUUUGUUUCCUAAUCUCAAUCUAACUGCCUCAAAGAACAGGGAAAACAGUUCUGCUCUUGAAGUGGCAAGCAUUUAAAUUCACGUGACCUUAAAAAGAAUUACUUGAAUUGCAUGGCUUUACUCAAAUUAGGCUGGAGUAUUGCAAAAUCAUAUGAUGAUUGUUUUGGAAAAUAAAGAAUAUAAACCA